CCCCACUUGGCGUUCGGCAGUUAAAGAUGGCAACCGCCACAUGUUUGUUUAUACAAACGAUGACCACCUAGCCUUUCGACAAUCAAGCUGCGGUUAACCUCAAACCACAGCUUCUGGGCGGCUAAUAAGGGGCACACUCCUCCUGCAGUUUGUUCGGUUAGUGCAAGGUGAAAAAGGUCAACAAGGCAAACUGCAGCUUCGGGCUGGUUACUAGGCAGCACACUCCAUAUGCUGGGUGGUCGGUCAUUCGUUCAUACGAAUGACAUGAUGAAUUACUUUCGUGGUUUUAUUCAGGGGAAAUAAACAGAAACAUUGUAGCAAAGUGGCAGACAGAGGGUACUUUGUAACAGUCCCACCUGUGUGAUCGCCGGCGAGCAGGUAAGUCCCCUGGACGGCGUGGACGUGCUAUGCCGCUCGCUGGGUCACCAAGGACAGCAUAGCACACCCGCCGUCUUUUAAGGGGUUAAACAGAAUUUAGAAUAAAGGAAGCAUAAACAUUAGAUGACUCUGUACAGGGAAUUUCUAAGAAGGCUGUGUAAGUCACAUGCAGGAAUCUGUGCCUAGGACUAUAGCAUCCCUUUAAGUUAAGUUUAGGCAAAUUUUGCAUCAGAACAACUAAAUCGAAAUGAAGUUUUUAUGGUGCCAGGAGGCCCCCGUGCUCGCUGUAUUUUUCGGGAGUUAAACUGUUUAUUUAGGGGAUGGUAUGGUGCCUGGAGUGCCCCUUUAAGAAAAUUAAUAGUGAGUAGAAUUGAAAACCUGCUUGCAAAAUUAAGACAAAAAUAGCUUAGUUUAGAGAAUUAAUUAUUUGUAAACUUAAUGUUCAGUGCAUAAAACCUUCUACUUACUAUAAUGUUUUAAC